CAGCAGAGUGUGGUGCUUUUCCAGUUUGUAAAUCAGGGCGGGCCCUUCGCGUUGCUGCUGUUUACACUUUAAAGUCAUUUUAAAUUUUUACUUCAGAAUAGUUUUAGUUUUCAGUCAUCCGGGCGCCCAGGAGUGGCUAAAUAUGCUUCCUCAUUACUUCUGUGAUCACUGAGGGUGCCCGCGACUGGAGGAAGUUACGUUCUGGCUUUUGGGCCUCACAGUCACAUUGGGAAUAUUGUCCUCCUGCUGUAAUUUCUGGAGUCCCUAAGUGCAGGCUGGAGCAGCUUUAACAGGUUGUCAUUUAAUAUGGUGGGAAAUAUACACGUGUCAGGAGACUUCCCAGCCGGAGACGCCUUCCUGUGCCUCCACCUGCUUUAAUUCACGCGCUUUACACUCAAGGGACCGGUCCUUUAGCAAACUGUGCCUGACUCUCCUCGCCCAGGGGCCGGUAAAGCGUUUAUGGCCUGGAUUGCAUAGGAAAAGGUAAAUUAGUGAUACAGCUACAUACACAUUUCUUUACAUUGCAUGAAACACC
rnacentral:lncRNA from 1 species